CGAUCGGUCAGCAGAAACGAUACAACCAAGAUCGAACAAUCAUUCCGUAAAUUGUCACACGUGUGCGCCCUUCACUACAGGGAACGAGCACACGAGAAAGACGCACGAUUCGUGAUCACUACACGGACGGCUGAUAAAUCGCCCCUGCGAUGUUGUCUUGUGCCGCGUUCUCCGGCUACUGCUAGCGAUAGGCAGCGUUUCGAAUUAGUCCGAAUACUGGACGAACCACAAUCAGACAAAGUCAGUCCAAUAGACAAACACCCCUAGUGGUAUUACAUUGCUGAACCUGACUUUCAGUAGCAGUUCAUGUAAUUAGCUAUUAUGAUUGUUUUUACUGUGAUUUCGUGAGAAAAGGCUCAGCAUGUUGGAAGAGCUAGAGACAGAGAGCGCGAAAGAAAGAGUCAUAGGGCUCGAGGAAUUUUCACCAGAAAUAAACUGCCUUAUCGGGUUGAACUUUGGCUCCAUAAGGCUGGUGUGAAAAAGUAAAAGCUUAUUCGCAGCAGACAAGCUGAGUCAGUGGAAUGAAGAAAAAAAAGUGCUACUGGCUCGUAAAUAUAACGUAUACUGUAAACACCUCAGAUAGAAAAAUAAAAACAAGUGAUAAAAAUGAUCCUUUCGAACUGGUGCACCGGUCAGUAGCAAUUGAAAAGCGGAAUCGAAACUAUUGAUUGGUCAGUCGUUCUUGAACAAGAUGAAAAUUAAAAUUAUUUUCCUAUUGAUUUGUGUGUUUGCCGCCGAAGUUGUUGAUUUAUUUCCCCGGGCAGGAAAAGACAAAUAUUGUGGAGAGCGGCUCGCUCUCAUUCUGAUGACGGUAUGCAACGAGGAGUUCCCCUAUGAAAAAGCAAAUGUUGGCCAACUGCCUAUAACCGGUGUGCAGGACAGAACACGGUUCCGUCGUAAUGUGGGCUAUGAAUGUUGUAUCCGACCGUGCGAUAUACGGCAAAUUAAAGCACUCUGUAAGGAUGCCAGUUGAGGAACAAUCUGCUGAUUUGUCGUAUCGUUGAAAAAUGUUAAGUUUAAAAGCUGUGAACAUUUCAGUGUGAUAGAAUAUCCAGAAGAAUUACGGGAAUAAUAUUUUUAGAUUCAUACAAAUUGAUCAUAUUACCAGUGGUGGGCACCGCUAAUCGAAAAUUUAGCGACGCUAAUCGCUUAGUCGCUAACCGGAAAAUUUAGCUCGAUAAUCGCUAAACGCUAAACGCUAAACCCACAUUAGCGGAACUUUCGCUAAUCGCUGAUCGCUAACUUUUCAAUAUAUAAAUAGUCAUAUCGUUAUAUUUAUUGCUCGUGUUUUGUAAGAUUUGGACCACUUUGAUCUUUUUUGGUUGAACAAACGAAAACAAUUACUUUUUAAAGCUAUUUACAGUAAGGGGUUCACGAAACGGUAUUCAUAUUUGAUUUUGUAAAAACAAGAAUAACAAAAGUUGUUUAGCUUGCAUUGAAAAUACUCUUAGGAAUGUUUUCAUAAAAAUUCAAUUAUUAUCUGAAUCGAAAAAGUAUAACCAAAGUUGUCAGAAUUUCAAGCGCAUUGCAAUUUACCAAAGUUCUUGUACCUUGUUCUUCAAAAUGCUCCUGUGGCUUGUACGAUAACUGGAACUCCAUUCUAGGGUAAAAAACUGACAAACGUAACUUUCGCAUUAAAGUAUGUUCAUCUUUCGAAGCAAUUUACGUACGCCAUCAGCAAUUCACAGUUUUUCUAAAUAUUUCUAUUGUCGCUUCUCUACAAAAUUUAGCGAAUUAGCGAUUAGCGUUUCGAAGGCCAAAAUUUUAGCGACGCUAACAGUUUCGCUAACCAGCUCAAAAAUUAACGAAAUCGAUAAAUCGCUAACUGAAUUUUAGCGUCGCUAAUUAGCGAAUUAGCGAAUUAGCGGAAUGGUGCCCACCACUGCAUAUUACAGUAACGUACAGUCAACACUGUGAUUCGAUGUCACUUCUGUGGCUACUGACCGGAAACAAUCAUUAAGUGACACAAUUGUUGAUCUAACUUUUGUAUAAUUUACUUGAACUGUUCUCAAAUACAUAUUCACAUUUACUCAAUCA